GUGUGGGUAUGGUAUUUAAAAUAUCUUUCAAUGCCUAGCUUCGACAUUUCUGCGUCGCCCUGUUGGCUGUCUUACCUGGAGUUGAACUGGAAGUUGAUAUCAGUUUUACCUCCGGUUUUUUUUUUCCAGUGAAGACUCUUUGAGGAGAUGACGAGCGUUAGCUUCCACCAUGAGAGGAGAAAUUCACCUUCGAAAAAAAAAAUAAAAAAAGUAACUCUGAUGUCCGCCUCCGGAAUAUUUCCCAGCUCAGGAAAAGGGGCCAUCGUUGGAGUACGUGAACGCACCAUUGGCCUUGGCGGAGGUCUGCUCCCUUUGAGUGCCAUCCUGGUUUGGAAUAGUGUCUCUGGCCUCCAGUCUUGUAAAGCAGCAGCUGGAGAGGGCUGUCCCCCGAGAACC